AGAGUUUGAUCCUGGCUCAGGAUGAACGUUGGCGGCGUGCCUAACACAUGCAAGUCGAACGAGAAGACUUCCUUCGGGAAGUUGGAGAGUGGCGCACGGGUGAGUAACACGUAGCUUAUCUGCCCUGAAGAGCGGGAUAACGCACCGAAAGGUGUGCUAAUACCGCAUAAGCUCACAUGAACUAGAAUAAUGUGGGAAAAGCUCCGGCGCUUCAGGAUGAGGCUGCGGCCCAUCAGCUAGUUGGUAAGGUAACGGCUUACCAAGGCGACGACGGGUAGGGGGCCUGAGAGGGUGACCCCCCACACUGGGACUGAGACACGGCCCAGACUCCUACGGGAGGCAGCAGUGAGGAAUAUUGCGCAAUGGACGAAAGUCUGACGCAGCGACGCCGCGUGGGUGAUGAAGGUUUUCGGAUCGUAAAGCCCUUUUCUUGGUGACGAGGAAGGACGGUAACCAAGGAAUAAGUGUCGGCUAACUACGUGCCAGCAGCCGCGGUAAAACGUAGGACGCAAACGUUAUCCGGAAUUACUGGGCGUAAAGCGCGCGCAGGCGGAUCAGCAAGUCAGUCGUGAAAGCUCCCGGCUAAACUGGGAGAGGUCGGAUGAAACUGUUGGUCUGGAGUGUGGUA
rnacentral:rRNA from 1 species